GGAUGAGCCUGCACUUGAUUAGUUUGUUGGUAGGGUAAUGGCCUACCAAGACUGUGAUCAAUAGCUGAUUUGAGAGGAUGAUCAGCCACAUUGGGACUGAGACACGGCCCAAACUCCUACGGGAGGCAGCAGUGGGGAAUCUUGCACAAUGGAGGAAACUCUGAUGCAGCGAUGCCGCGUGAGUGAAGAAGGCCUUUGGGUUGUAAAGCUCUUUCGUCGGGGAAGAAAAUGACUGUACCCGAAUAAGAAGGUCCGGCUAACUUCGUGCCAGCAGCCGCGGUAAUACGAAGGGACCUAGCGUAGUUCGGAAUUACUGGGCUUAAAGAGUUCGUAGGUGGUUGAAAAAGUUAGUGGUGAAAUCCCAGAGCUUAACUCUGGAACUGCCAUUAAAACUUUUCAGCUAGAGUAUGAUAGAGGAAAGCAGAAUUUCUAGUGUAGAGGUGAAAUUCGUAGAUAUUAGAAAGAAUACCAAUUGCGAAGGCAGCUUUCUGGAUCAUUACUGACACUGAGGAACGAAAGCAUGGGUAGCGAAGAGGAUUAGAUACCCUCGUAGUCCAUGCCGUAAACGAUGUGUGUUAGACGUUGGAAAUUUAUUUUCAGUGUCGCAGGGAAACCGAUAAACACACCGCCUGGGGAGUACGACCGCAAGGUUAAAACUCAAAUGAAUUGACGGGGACCCGCACAAGUAGUGGAGCAUGUGGUUUAAUUCGAAGAUACGCGCAGAACCUUACCAACACUUGACAUGUUCGUCGCGACUCUAAGAGAUUAGAGUUUUCGGUUCGGCCGGACGAAACACAGGUGCUGCAUGGCUGUCGUCAGCUCGUGUCGUGAGAUGUUGGGUUAAGUCCCGCAACGAGCGCAACCCUCACUUUUAGUUGCCAUCAUUAAGUUGGGCACUCUGAAAGAACUGCCAGUGAUAAGCUGGAGGAAGGUGGGGAUGACGUCAAGUCCUCAUGGCCCUUACGUGUUGGGCUACACACGUGCUACAAUGGCAUCUACAACAGGAAGCAAAACGGCAACGUUAAGCAAAUCCCGAAAAGAUGCCUCAGUUCGGAUUGCACUCUGCAACUCGAGUGCAUGAAGCUGGAAUUACUAGUAAUCGUGGAUCAGCGUGCCACGGUGAAUGCGUUCCCGGGUCUUGUACACACCGCCCGUCACACCAUGGGAGUUGGUUCUACCUUAAGGCAAGGUUUCAAACCCUUGACCACGGUAUAGUCAGCGACUGGGGUGAAGUCGUAACAAGGUAACC
rnacentral:rRNA from 1 species